UACUCGGCGUCGGUUCAUUGCUUGUGGGAGAGAGUCAUCUCGCGCAGCUCGGCUGCGUCCACCUGCGCUCGGAGGUUGCUGGGCCUGUAGUACCCCGUCACCGGGUCCGGGACCCAAGAAUUCGACGAAGCAGAGGUGGAGGAGGAGGCGGCGGUGGUCGAGGAGUCUACCACCUUGCGCGCCACCGUUUUCUGCUCCACGGACCUUCUCACACCAGCCGCCGCCGCCGCUGCCGCAGCGUAUCCCCUCCUGGAUGAAUCGAACGGAGCAGGAGUAAGUAAUGGUCCAAUUAUAGAUUAUAGAUUAUAGAUAGAUGAUGAUGAUUGGUAUAUCAGUUACCGGUUAACCAAGAGGGCGAUGUUUUGAGAGACGGACGCAGCGAGAGCAGCAGCACUAGAGAGAGAGCGAGCCAUCUGCCCUCUUCGUUUUAUCACCUUAAUUUCUCUAGCUAGUAGAAAGAAAGAGAAGAGAUGGACGAACAGGAAGAGGUCCUUCUCUUCGUGUUGUUGUGCUCCUCUCUCUCUUUCUCUCUCUCUCCUUCUAUCCUCCCUACCUUGGCCUGUUUGGUUUGGGGAUGAAGUGAGACCGAAUGCCAAGGUGUUUAUUUAUAGCAACAGCUGUGAACCGGAAAUGGCUGUGUAUGUGUUUUGUGUGGGAGGAAACGAAGCCGUGGGGCGGGUUAUCACCCAGUAGUAUCUCUUUGGCUCUUCCGCAUCGCCACGAGCCGCUGUUUCCUUUAAUUAAUUCCCCGAGAGAGAGAGAGAGAGAGAGCUGUGUGGUCCGGAGAAUUCGACCUCCGCCAUCUUGCCUUUGAAAAAUCUUCUGCGCCGCAGCUGCUGACAGGCAGACUCCUCUGCUCAGCUGCUGACAGGCAGUCAGGUGGAUGUCAACUUCUACAAGAUAUUCCAGUGGCUUGUUUAAAUGGAUUCCCUGUCCAACUUUUUGGUUUGGGGAAGAACUCUAGAUACUAUCAAAGUAUCAAUCUAAUUGUGAUCUGAUCACUUGGUAUCGUGCUCCAUCAAUCUAACUGCUAAGAUAUAAAAUGUAGUUUGGUCGGAGACACCUGUCGAGAAAACAGAUCAUGCACUGAUUUCUUCUUGGAUUUGCAGACAAUUCAAGCAGUUGUAGAAAGAGAGAUGAGAUGAGCCGGUUGGAGAGGGGGAUUGAUGGAACCCUAUUUGUUCUACCGUCAACAAGUGGCUGGUGGAUUGAGUGCCAAGAACAUUAUCUUUAGUAUCAAAACAACGAGAGCUUUUAGGCUAGUGGAUUUUGAGUGCCACGAACACCACAUGCAAACAUUAUCCUUAGUAUCAGAACAACGAUAGCUUUUUGAGGAUGAAGAGUAUGGCAUCACUAAUUAUCUUUAUCGAGGUGUCUAAAAGUAAGUUAAUGGUAUCAUUGCGUAAGUGAUAAAUCUCAUGCAUAUUGUUUUCAUCUGACUUCUUUCCCUUUUAGUUUUGCUCUGUUCUGAUAAUAAAACUGUGGCUUUGUCUUAGAUUACGAGGGGAGAAGAAGUAGAUGCUUAAAGAGACAAGCUCCUCAAACAAAGCCAGUCAAACUUAAUUACAUGAGUAAGUCAAUUUGGUAUCUCAAGUAUAGAACACUUUGGGCUUCUCUGCUGGAGUUGGAGUAGGUCGUUUAAUCGAGCUCGUUUCUUUGCUGAUGCCAUUUGCAUUCCCAGACAAUAUCUUCAUUAAAUCAUUCUAAAGGAAAAAAGAAGAAACAAUUAGUAGCAUAGAACCAAUAAAGCUUCGUAUCGCAGAAACCACUCCUACGAAGUCUUAGUGCUUGCCAUUUGUUCAUUUUCGUGUGUAUAUAUACAACGCCAACUUUAAAAGCUUCUGUCUAUUGAUUUUCCUCAAAAUAGAUCUAGAGAUAAUGAGAGAUUAGAUAAAAAGAAAAAGGGUGUAAUAAGGAGAGUUAUGUUUGAGUUUAGGAUAAUUUAAGAAAAUUUAUAAUUUAAUCUCACAUGAUGAAAAUUUUAAUUAUCUCUAUAAAAAAAAUAAAAAGGGUCCAACUACUUAAAUCUUUUAUCCAUCUUUAUAAUUUUUGUUUGAUUUUUGAUCUAUGAAUUUUUGUUUGAUUGAUGGUCUAUGAAUUUUCUUAGUGUAACAGAUUUUACAGACACCAAAAAUUAAAAUUGCUCAAGUUCUCUCCACAUCUUAAAAUUACACCUACGCCUAUUUAAGUUUUACGACUUGUUCAAGUCAAAUAUCUUUGAUGAUGCCAGUUUGAACACUAGUCAUUAUUUUUUCUUAGAGUAUGAUGUGAUUUGUAUGAAUAUUAAUUAUUCUUCAACUAUGACAGAUGAACAUUUUUCAACAUAUUUAUUACUAUAGCAUCCAUUUCGAUUAUUAAGAUAGUAAAUAAUAUAACGCAUAGUUAAACAUGUUAGGAUAAACUAGCAGGGGUGAAUUAGUGUUUUUGUAGAAGUUACGAAUUAGAAAAUCCUCGUUCGAUAAACUCCUAUCAGAAAGAUACUUAAUUUAAAAUCAGUAAGUAAUAAAGGUAAAUAUCAAAAGAAAAGAGUAUACCAAAUUUAUCGUGGUUCGAUCAUCGGCGUCGAUGUCCACUAAUGAUCUUUCUUUAAUGGGUGAAGACCAAUUACCAUUUUACAACUCUUUUCUCCUUUUGGCAAGUUUAGAAAAGAACUUUUACACCCCCUUUUUAUAAAGUUUUCCUCACACUCUCUCUUAGAAUAGUUUUUAAACUUUAGGAGGAGAGACUCAACACUUUACAAGGGUUUACAAAUUUAGAAUCACAGAGUUUUGUUCUACUUUCUUGCUCUCUUAAACAAAAAAUAUUAGGGUAUUUAUAGACCUCAAAUUACUUUAAAAAUUAGGGCCAAAAUUCAAAUCCUCGAGAUUUCGGGGUACUAGCGAUACCAUCGCUUAAGUUGGGCGGUACUACCGCCUGCAGUAUUGACACUAAGUAGUACCACCGCCUAACACUGGGCGAUACCACCACCCAAUCUAGUAGUAUCAUCGUCUAACACAAUCUCGGAGAUUGUGUCUUGGAGACUAAGCCGUUGGCGAUUCCACCACCUAGACCAGUGGUGCCACUACUUGACCCAACUUUUGGGUCACUAAAUAGGUCUUUCUCUUAGCUCAAAAUAGCUCCAUCUUAGGCCUAAUUGAGUUGACCUAAUUAUAUUCAAACCAACUCAAUUAGAACUCUAAACUAAUUCGAUCUAAAUAAAUUAUUACAAAGUAUGAAUCAUAUAUUGUCUGGCAUGUUAUUGGUUCUUUCGACGCUUUGUUUGAUCCUUCGGCGCAUCGUCCUCUCCUUCAACAUAAUGCCCAAUUGGCAUGUUAACUUCCUACAAUAUCCGAUCUCCUUGGUGCAAAGUUUGAUUCUUCCAGCUCGAUGCCCGAACUCACGGCACGAAGUCCUUCUAUCGGUACAUCGAUCAAUCUUCUAACAUGUUCAACUCUAGCCUUACGUCUGAUUCCUCCUAUUUCAAUCAAUUUGCCUCUCCUUGAUUGAAGCUAAUCCUGUGUUAAUCACAAACUCAUCAAUUGAUUUCAUCAUCAAAAUACGAGAUUCAAUAAUUUUUCCUUUUUUUAUGAUGACAAUCAAUUGAUAACAGAGUUUAAACUAAACUCUCCUUACCAAUAUGUCAUAUUGAUAAAAUCUUUAAAUUCAGAAAAUCAUGUAAUGCUUUAAAAAAUAAAAGUACAUCAUACCAUGCAUGAUUCGACAUAUUAUCAUAUCUUUUCUCCCUUUGUCAUCAAUAAAAAGGAGAAGUGCAUCUUAUAAGUUUUUGAGAUAUGCAAGUUUUACAACAUACAAGCAAUAAUUUUGAGUUGUGUAAGUUUAUAAAUUUUACUUCUUGAGAUAUACAAGUUUGCACUUUUGCUUCUCUUGAUAUGUGAAGACAACAAAUUCUUUCUUCUCUUGCAAGCUAUCGAUUUGCUUCUUCUUGAAAUGUGCAAGCUAGCAAAUUAUUUUUUUCUUUUUGCGAUAUGCAAGCUAGCAAGUUCUUGAGAAUGUGAAGUUUAGCGAAAUUUUUCUUCUCUUGAGAUAACAACUUUUUGUUUCUUUUUAUAAUGUGUAUUUUAGCAGGUUUUCUCUCCUUGAAAUGUGCAAGCUAGCAAUACUUUCUCCCCCUUUGUCAUUAUCAAAAGGAAGAAUACAAUGGUACAAAAUUUUUCUUUUUACAUCAAUUUUUAGAUUAUAACAAAUAUUAAU
rnacentral:lncRNA from 1 species